rnacentral:rRNA from 1 species
GACGAACGCUGGCGGCGUGCCUAAUACAUGCAAGUCGAACGAACCGCGACUGAGUGCUUGCACUUGGUCAAGGUGAGUGGCGAACGGGUGAGUAACACGUGGGUAACCUACCUCAUAGUGGGGGAUAACAGUCGGAAACGACUGCUAAUACCGCAUAGGACAUAGGAUCACAUGAUCCAGUGAGGAAAGGUGGCGCAAGCUAUCGCUACGAGAUGGACCCGCGGUGCAUUAGCUAGUUGGUAGGGUAAAGGCCUACCAAGGCGAUGAUGCAUAGCCGACCUGAGAGGGUGAUCGGCCACAUUGGGACUGAGACACGGCCCAAACUCCUACGGGAGGCAGCAGUAGGGAAUCUUCCGCAAUGGACGCAAGUCUGACGGAGCAACGCCGCGUGAGUGAAGAAGGUCUUCGGAUCGUAAAGCUCUGUUGUUAGAGAAGAACAGCGCAUAGAGUAACUGCUAUGCGUGUGACGGUAUCUAACCAGAAAGCCACGGCUAACUACGUG